CCGUCACCACCACAACCAGCAGAAUGCCAUGUCGAGCGUGGGCAGAACAGGAAACCCAUAAAGGUUACCAAGUUCAUGAUGCACAGUAUUCUGCUGUUAAUGAAGAACAAAAAAUUGCUUCAAUUCAAGCAGAGAAAAAUAAAGAUUAACGAAAUUUCAACAUGACGUGAGAGAAAGAAUAAAAGCACGAAAAAAUGAAGAAACUCCAGCAAUUGGACAAAUCAUAUGAAGUGGUGUCCACUCAACAGAAAGUAAUUCACCAAAGCUCAUUUCCAAAA